AUUGGUCCUCACAGUAUGUUCCUAUUGGACCUAAGGAGAACGUUCCUAUUGGUCCUCAGGAAAGCGUUCCUAUUGGCCCUCCGGACUACGUUCCCAUUGGUCCUCAGGAGAAUGUUCCUAUUGGUCCUCAGGAGAAUGUUCCUAUUGGUCCUCAGGAGAACGUCCCCAUUGGUCCUCAGGAGAACAUUCCUAUUGGUCCUUAGAGUGUGUUCCUAUUGGUCCUCACAGUAUGUCCCUAUUGGUCUUCCGGAGAACAUUCCUAUUGGUCCUCAGAGUGUGUUCCUAUUGGUCCUCACAGUAUGUUCUGAUUGGUCCUGAGCAGAACCUUGUGUAGGUGAGUAAGUGACCCCCAGCCUCCUGUGUCUCUCUUGGUGAGGAGGGAGAGCAGGCCAGACGGCUCUAGAACUGGAGGCAACAGGGAUAGGACAGGCCAGACCCUUGUCUGUCUCUCUGACUGAACCCUGUCUGUCUCUUUGUCUGAACCCCUGUCUGUCUCACUUAACCCGGUUUGAGUUAUAACCCCUCCUGUACUUACUGUUCGGCGUCGUCUGCUAACCGCCCCCCCACUUCUCCACCAAGCGCCCUUCCUGUAGUUGAAGGGUGUCUGUCCCCGUGGAAGGCGACAUCACAGCAGACCACCUGGUCCCCAUCACAACUGCCCACCCCCACGUCUCCACGGAGCUGGAGAGUAAAGCCUUCCACUUCUGCUGCCCUUCAACACGCGUUUGCUGAACAUGAUCUAGAACCCGUGGGCUGAACUUUUGUGUUCUGAGCCCUUGGUCUAGAUUCUUCUGUUGGACUAUUAGUCUAACCCUUGGUCUAGAUUCUUCUGUUGGACUAUUCUACUCUAGGCCCUCGGUCUAGAGCCUAACCCCUGGUCUAGAGCCUAACCCUUGGUCUAGACCCUUGGUUUAGAGUCUAACCCCUGGUCUAGAGCCUAACCCCUGGUCUAGAGUCUAACCCUUGGUCUAGACCCUUGGUCUAGAGCCUAACCCCUGGUCUAGAGCCUAACCCUUGGUCUAGACCCUUGGUUUAGAGUCUAACCCUUGGUCUAGAGCCUAACCCCUGGUCUAAAGUCUAACCCUUGGUCUAGAGUCUAACCCUUGGUCUAGAGUCUAACCCUUGGUCUAGAGUCUAACCCCUGGUCUAGAGCCUAACCCUUGGUCUAGACCCUUGGUCUAGAGUCUAACCCCUGGUCUAAAGUCAAACCCUUGGUCUAGAGUCUAACCCUUGGUCUAGACCCUCGGUCUAGAGCCUAACCCCUGGUCUUGACUCUAGACCCUAACCCCUGGUCUAAAGUCUAACCCUUGGUCUAGAGUCUAACCCUUGAGUCUAACCCUUGGUCUAGAGUCGAACCCUUGGUCUAGAGUCUAACCCCUGGUCUAGAGCCUAACCCUUGGUCUAGAGUCUAACCCCUGGUCUAGAGUUUAACCCUUGGUCUAGAGCAGGGGUCUUCUAUUAAAAUUUAACAAGGUCCAGUUACUAAAAAUUCCUUCCAAGAAAGGUCCGAACAUACCACGUCAUAAUAGCCUUCUUUUGUCAAAUACAAUCAACACGGCAUAUUACCUUAUAAUUUCAGGUGUAUUUAUUUUCCAUUUCCAAAUAGCUUACUUUUAACCAUGAAAAACUAGUAAGACAAAGUAACGCAUAUUAAUAUUUCAAGUAAACAAAACAGGUACAGUACAUUAGGCCUGCAAUUCAAGUAAACAUAAAAAAGUGCAUAAGGCCUACAUGUGAAGUAAGCAGAACAGGAACACUAGGCCUACACUUCAAAUAAACACAAAGUGCAUUUAGGCCUACAUUUCAAGCAAGCAAAACAGGUACACCAGGCCUACAUUUCAAAUAAACUCAAAAAAGACUAUUAGGCCUUCAUUUCAAGUAAGCAAAACAGUGUCUCAAGUGGUGUUAGACCCAACAGGUCCUCACAGAUCUCUUUCUUGUCUUGAUGAAACAAUCGCACAUAAACCAAAAGCUGGGCAUUAUCCGUUACAUCUGAAGACUCAUCAAUGGCUAAGGAUGGGGCACUCUGAACAGCCACAUGAAGCUGUGACAGUGUGUCAUCUGAUAACAUUUCGGGUUUUCUUGUUGUCGUUGCAGCUCACAUUGGGAUUUGCUUUAGUUUUUCACACAAUUCAUCCCUUUGUUUACCUUCAAGUAAAUUCUCGGCAGCGGCGUUCAAGCACUCCUUCACAACAGUAGUGUCACUGAAAGUUUUUUUAUGUUGCCCCAAAAUCCAUGCAAUCUUAAGUGAGCAUUCAUUUGCACGUUGCUGGCCUGUAAAUGAGUGUGUGAAGACACGCGUAGACCUCUCAUACUGAGCUCUCAGCUCGGAUAUUUUCCACGCUCUUACUUCUGACUUCUGGGGAUACUUUUCCUCGAAGGAUCUGUGUUUGGAUUCGUAAUGCUGCUUAAUGUUCCCACUUUUUAUCAGCGCCACGGUUUCAACACAUAAAAGACACAACAAAGGUUUUGUACUGCCUUGCGGGAGAAUGAACAUGUAUUGGUCAGUCCAUUCAUCAUUAAAAUGUCUGUAUUCGGGGUCAACUUUCCUUAUUUUCGAGCAAGCCAUUUUCUCAUUCCAAAUCGCUCUUCCGGUAAACAUAAAAUUUGAUUGGCUAUUAUUUGAGUGACGCUAUAACGCACAUGCCGUGGCAGACGGAGGGAGGGGGGGAGUUCGGUGAGUGCAUGAUCUUCGCUCUGUGAAGAUCAUUGCUUUUUGCUGUUUUUAUGCUGUACAACAGACUAUUCUACUUUUCAAUUUGUAUUUCAGUGAGAAAUGAUUUCACUAACGUAAUCAUGCUUUGUAUAGUGAAAUCAUAAAGAAAGAAA